GGGUGCGAUCAUACCAGCGUUAAUGCACCGGAUCCCAUCAGAACUCCGCAGUUAAGCGCGCUUGGGCUAGAGUAGUACUGGGAUGGGUGACCUCCCGUGAAGUCCUAGUGUUGUACCCUC
rnacentral:rRNA from 1 species